rnacentral:rRNA from 1 species
CGAAGCAACGCCGCGUGAGUGAUGAAGGCUUUCGGGUCGUAAAACUCUGUUGUUAGGGAAGAACAAGUGCUAGUUGAAUAAGCUGGCACCUUGACGGUACCUAACCAGAAAGCCACGGCUAACUACGUGCCAGCAGCCGCGGUAAUACGUAGGUGGCAAGCGUUAUCCGGAAUUAUUGGGCGUAAAGCGCGCGCAGGUGGUUUCUUAAGUCUGAUGUGAAAGCCCACGGCUCAACCGUGGAGGGUCAUUGGAAACUGGGAGACUUGAGUGCAGAAGAGGAAAGUGGAAUUCCAUGUGUAGCGGUGAAAUGCGUAGAGAUAUGGAGGAACACCAGUGGCGAAGGCGACUUUCUGGUCUGUAACUGACACUGAGGCGCGAAAGCGUGGGGAGCAAACAGGAUUAGAUACCCUGGUAGUCCACGCCGUAAACGAUGAGUGCUAAGUGUUAGAGGGUUUCCGCCCUUUAGUGCUGAAGUUAACGCAUUAAGCACUCCGCCUGGGGAGUACGGCCGCAAGGCUGAAACUCAAAGGAAUUGACGGGGGCCCGCACAAGCGGUGGAGCAUGUGGUUUAAUUCGA